UUGGGAGCUCUCCCAUAUGGUCGACCUGCAGGCGGCCGCGAAUUCACUAGUGAUUCGUAUUACCGCGGCUGCUGGCACGGAGUUAGCCGGAGCUUAUUCUCCCGGUACUGUCAUUAUCAUCCCGGGUAAAAGAGCUUUACAACCCUAAGGCCUUCAUCACUCACGCGGCAUUGCUGGAUCAGGCUUUCGCCCAUUGUCCAAUAUUCCCCACUGCUGCCUCCCGUAGGAGUCUGGGCCGUGUCUCAGUCCCAGUGUGGCUGGUCACCCUCUCAGGCCGGCUACCCGUCAAAGCCUUGGUAAGCCACUACCCCACCAACAAGCUGAUAAGCCGCGAGUCCAUCCCCAACCGCCGAAACUUUCCAACCCCCACCAUGCAGCAGGAGCUCCUAUCCGGUAUUAGCCCCAGUUUCCUGAAGUUAUCCCAAAGUCAAGGGCAGGUUACUCACGUGUUACUCACCCGCUCGCCACUCGAGCACCCCACAAAAGCAGGGCCUUUCCGUUCGACUUGCAUGUGUUAAGCACGCCGCCAGCGUUCGUCCUGAGCCAUGAUCAAACUCUAAUCGAAUUCCCGCGGCCG
rnacentral:rRNA from 1 species